AACGAACGCUGGCGGCAUGCCUAACACAUGCAAGUCGAACGAGACCUUCGGGUCUAUUGGCGCACGGGUUCGUAACGCGUGGGAACCUUCCCUUAGGUUCGGAAUAACUCCCCGAAAGGGGUGCUAAUACCGGAUAAUAGCUUCGAACCAAAGAUUUAUCGCCUUUGGAUGGGCCCGCGUGGAAUUAGCUAGUUGUUAGGGUAAAAGCAGACCAAGGCGACGAUCCGUAACUGGUCUCAGAGGCUGAUCAGCCACACUGGGACUGAGACACGGCCCAGACUCCUCCGCGAGGAAGGAGUGGCGAAUAUUGGACAAUGGGCGAAAGCAUGAUCCAGCAAUGCCGCGUGAGUGAUGAAGGUCUUAGGGUUGUAAAGCUCUUUUAACCGGGAUGAUAAUGACAGUACCGGGAGAAUAAGCUCCGGCUAACUCCGUG
rnacentral:rRNA from 1 species